UGCUAAUAUGACUCUCAUUGUUUAAAUGUAAAAAUCAAUCAGAUAUUGUAAAUGUCAUUUCAAGAAUUACAAUGCUAACAAUGAAAAAUGAUUUGGAUGGAGCAUUUCCUGAAGACCCUCCUAAAGUCUAUCCUGCUUUUACAAUCUCCACAGAUAUAAAGGGCUUGAAGAGGGUCCACCCUACCCUGUCUCUGCUGCUGCACUGAACCUCAAACAUUUGCAGAUUUUUUGCGCAAGGUUUACAAGUACAUUUUACAAAGAAAUGGCUCAUAAAUAGGGGAAAUGACUGUUUGCAUCAAACAGAUAUUUUACUGAACAACUUCAAAUUGUCUCGAGCUGUGCUGGGUCCGAAAACUAAAAACACAACCAUCCCUGAAUGUGCUACAGGUGUAGCCACACACAUGGAGAAAGCAAUCAAUCCAUCAUGUUAGAUGUUCAGUGGAGCAGCAGAAGAACCCUGACCCUUUUGAAAUGUUCCAUGCAAACAUAACAGUAACAAUAGAAAGUGGUCUAUGAAUUCUUAUUUUUAAAUUUAAUUUCUCAUCACAUCUUAAAUGGAGAUGGAAACAGUAAAAUUAAUAUUAGAAAUGAGGAUUAUGGAAGAAUUUCUCCUUCUGUGCUUCAGUCAAUAUAAUAAAACUAAACACAGCUUUAAAUGGA